GGAGUCGGCCAGACAGUCGCGUCAUCCACAUGCAAAUGUGCGAUGCCGAGGAAAGUCCGGGCUCCACAGGGCACGGUGCCAGGUAAUGCCUGGGCGGCGCGAGCCGACGGAAAGUGCAACAGAAAGAUACCGCCUUCAGAUCCUUCGGGAUUCGUCGGUAAGGGUGAAAUGGUGCGGUAAGAGCGCACCGCGAGCCUGGCAACAGGCCGGUACGGCAAACCCCACCGGGAGCAAGACCGAAUAGGGACCCCAUGACGUUGCCCGCGUCAGGUCCGGGUAGGUUGCUUGAGCGUAUCGGUGACGAUGCGCCUAGAGGAAUGACUGUCCACGACAGGACCCGGCUUAUCGGCCGACUCCGCCA
rnacentral:RNase_P_RNA from 1 species